ensembl:lncRNA
GUGAACCUAAAAGUUGUUAAUGAUUCUUGUUGUGCUGGGACAAAAUUAAAGACCGCUUUUGUUGGGCAGAAUAUCACCACCACAUGUAGCUAUCCAGGGGAGUAUGAGAGUAACAUCAAGUAUGUCCUCAUGCUGGAUCACGACAUGAAUACUGAACACGUUGUUGAUACUGACAAAGAAUUUCAGAACGGAAGAUUCUCCAUUUCUGAUGACAAAAGUGCUAAAGUUCUCAGAAUGAACCUCAGCGAUGUGAGAGAAGCUGAUGGAGUAUUUUAUUUAUUUGGAGUGUGGAACAAAGAUGGGUCAGUCAGAUAUUACUCCUACUUUACAGAGAUUCAGCUGCAUGUAACAGGAUUGAGCACGAGCAUUCAACCAACAACAACAACAGGCACCGACAUGACGACCUCAGCAGCACUGACAGAAACUCCAUCUGCAGUGUGUUUCAGUUCCUCUGCCAUCAUCAUCGGUGUGUGUGUCUGUGUGGCUCUGCUGCUGAUUGGAGGAUUUGCACUGAUGAUCUACAAACUGAGACACAAGAGAACACAAGAUUAUACACCUUCAUCCAAGAGUAAAGACAAUAAACCAGUUACUUCUGAUCAUAACACCAAUUCAGCUCAUUUGUACGAAAAUUUCAGAAUGAGCUCAAUAUGAAUCUGCACCAGGACACAAACCAAUCAGACUGUUGAGCUGUUAUUCUUACUGUUCUGAGCUGCCUCGUAGUGCCUCAACUCCCAAUGCUGUAGUGUCUCUCUUCACCUCUUUAUAGGACUGAAACCUAAAAAACAAUGCUGAUCCUAAAUCCAUGCCAGUUUGAUCAGGUGCAGUUUCUGGAGGACUGCUAGCCAGUUUCUCUCUCUCUCUCUCUCUCUCUCUCUCUCUCUCUCUCUCUCUCUCUCUCUCUCUCUCUCUCUCUCUCUCUGUCUCUCUGUCUUUCUCUCGUUCUCUGUCUUUCUCUCUCUCUCUGUCUUUCUCUCUCUUUUUCUCUCUCUCUCUAUCGCUCUCUCGUUCUCUGUCUUUCUCUCUCUUUCUCUCUCCCUUGCUCUCUUUCUCUCUCUCUAUCGCUCUGUCUCUCUCUCUCUCUAUCGCUCUCUUUGUUUCUUGUAGUUUUUACAUUUGUUUAGUUAAAGAUAAAGUGAUGAUUGUGAGCAAGGUGUUAUGAAACUUAUUAUCUAUAUAAAUGAAACAUUAUCGAUGUAUAAUGACUGAUAAAUGAUAUUAUUAUUAUUUUUAUUAUUAUUAUUAUUGUUAUUAUUAUUGUUGUUGUAAUGAUUACUUAAUUAAUUGUUUCUUAAGUAGUUAUCCAUUUUAUAUCAUGACAUUACUGUGCUUUAUUCUGAUCUGUUAUAGGAGUUACUUUAUUACAGUUUAAAUAUGAACCCAUUUAGUGCUGAGAUCUCGUUCAACACAUCGUACGCUCUGUUUCGAUUACGCUGUUGAGGCUUAAGAAGGAGAGCUAUAUUCCAAAUAACUGUC